rnacentral:rRNA from 1 species
UUGAACGCUGGCGGUAUGCUUUACACAUGCAAGUCGAACGGCAGCACGGGGCAACCUGGUGGCGCGUGGCGAACGGGUGAGUAACAUAUCGGAUCAUGUCCGGAAGUGGGGGAUAACGCACCGAAAGGUGCGCUAAUACCGCAUAUGCCCCGAGGGGGAAAGGGGGGGAUCGCAAGACCUCUCGCUUUCGGAGUGGCCGAUAUCGGAUUAGCUAGAUGGUGGGGUAAAGGCCCACCAUGGCGACGAUCCGUAGCUGGUCUGGGAGGACGACCAGACACACUGGAACUGAGACACGGUCCAGACUCCUACGGGAGGCAGCAGUGGGGAAUUUUGGACAAUGGGCGCAAGCCUGAUCCAGCCAUACCGCGUGAGUGAAGAAGGCCUUCGGGUUGUAAAGCUCUUUCAGCCGGAAAGAAAUCGUGCAGAUUAAUACUCUGUAUGGAUGACGGUACCGGAAGAAGAAGCACCGGCUAACUACGU